UAAUACUAACAACACAAUACAAAUAUGCUUAUCUCCCUGCAGAAAGGAGGAGGAAAGGAAAAUCUCCCUGUGACAAACCUUAGUUAACAAGGCUGGGAGGUGAUUUUGAUGCUGUUAUGGAAAAUAUGGUGUGAGAAUCCAAGGAGGAUGGAAUUUGCUUUGCUUUGCUUUUCUGCAUCUAGUCAUCUCUGCGACAGGAAGCUGCAGCCCAGAAGACUUCUCUUCCCUGCCAAGUGAGAGCCAGCAAAAUGACACCCUUCCCCCAGGCCUCCACCCUCGGUAUUGCAGUAAUUGAAAAGGGAGAUUAUUCCUCGUGUGCCAGGCAUUAACGCUUCAGCUGCUGGAGCAGCUCUUCUGCCCUGAGCAGCGCUGUCAGGGAAGGCCCAYGACACCUCCAGGAAGCUGCCUGCACCCUGCGGCUUUGCUCGCUGC
rnacentral:lncRNA from 1 species